CCUACGGGAGGCAGCAGUGAGGAAUAUUGGUCAAUGGACGCAAGUCUGAACCAGCCAUGCCGCGUGAAGGAAGACUGCUCUAUGGGUUGUACACUGCUUUUUUAAAAGACUAAACUGAUACACGCGUGCCUUUCUGUAAGUACUUUAUGAAUAAGGAUCGGCUAACUCCGUGCCAGCAGCCGCGGUACUACGGAGGAUUCAAGCGUUAUCCGGAUUUAUUGGGUUUAAAGGGAGCGUAGGCGGGUGGUUAAGUCAGGGGUGAAAGCCCGCGGCGCAACCGUAAAAGUGCAAUUGAUACUGGCAGGCUUGAGUACAGUUGAGGUAGGCGGAAUGUGUGGUGUAGCGGUGAAAUGCUUAGAGAUCACAAAGAACACCGAUUGCGAAGGCAGCUUACCAAGCUGCCACUGACGUUGAUGCACGAAAGUGUGGGUAUCAAACAGGAUUAGAUACCCCGGUAGUC
rnacentral:rRNA from 1 species